rnacentral:rRNA from 1 species
AGAGUUUGAUCAUGGCUCAGAAUCAACGCUGGCGGCGUGCCUCAGACAUGCAAGUCGAACGCGAAAGCGCCCUUCGGGGUGCAAGUAGAGUGGCGCACGGGUGAGUAACACGUAGGUAAUCUACCUUUGGAUGGGGAAUAACAACCGGAAACGGUUGCUAAUACCGCAUAAUGCAGCGGCACCUAAUGGUGACAGUUGUUAAAGCGGGGGAUCGAAAGACCUCGCGUCUGAAGAGGAGCCUGCGGCGGAUUAGCUAGUUGGUAAGGUAAUGGCUUACCAAGGCGAUGAUCCGUAACCGGCCUGAGAGGGCGGUCGGUCACACUGACACUGACAUACGGGUCAGACUCCUACGGGAGGCAGCAGUCGGGAAUUUUGGGCAAUGGGCGAAAGCCUGACCCAGCAACGCCGCGUGAAGGAUGAAAUCCCUCGGGAUGUAAACUUCGCAAGAACAGGAAGAAUAAGUAAGGGUUAAUAUCUCUUACGAUGACGGUACUGUUUGUAAGCUCCGGCUAACUCCGUGCCAGCAGCCGCGGUAAUACGGGGGGAGCAAGCGUUGUUCGGAUUUACUGGGCGUAAAGGGCGCGUAGGCGGCCACCGCAAGUCGAUUGUGAAAUCUCCGGGCUUAACCCGGAAAGGUCAACCGAUACUGCGGGGCUAGAGUGCAGAAGGGGCAACUGGAAUUCUCGGUGUAGCGGUGAAAUGCGUAGAUAUCGAGAGGAACACCUGCGGCGAAGGCGGGUUGCUGGGCUGACACUGACGCUGAAGUGCGAAAGCUAGGGGAGCGAACGGGAUUAGAUACCCCAGUAGUCC